CCCCCACAGCCCAGCAAACUUCUCCAUCCAUGAGCCCCAUGGACCUGUGGCCGGGAAGGUGAGGAAGCUCCCACUUUGGCUGAGCUGGGUAGCUGAGGACAGACAGGUCUGAGGAGCAGAGCAGGAGCUCUGGGAAGGAGAAGAGCAAUAUGAAGAUGGAGUGUAAGAUGAGGCCAGCAAGGGAAAAGAAGUCGCGGGGAUGGAGUCCAGCCCUGAGAUGAGAUGGAAAGUGAUCAAGAGCAGUGACAGCGUGAAUCCUGUUGAUGCCAGGCAAGAGCUGCCCAACUGGGACAAGAGUAACCGUCUCUGUCGGUGAGAUGUGUAUCUGGUUUGGGAAGGGCUCUGGUCACAGCCCUCCUGGCUCCAGGCAGGGACUUCCCGUUACCUGGGUGUGGGUUUCCGGACUAGCUGUGGCUUCAAGGGAGAUGAUGUUGC